rnacentral:tRNA from 1 species
GCCUGGCUGGCUCAGUUGGAGAGCAUAUGACUCUUGAUCUUGAGGAUGGGAGUUUAAGCCCCAUGUUGGGCA